UCCUUGGUAGCUCAGAUGGUAAAGCGUCUGCUUACAAUGCAGGAAAACUGGGUUCGAUCCCUGGGUCAGGAA
rnacentral:tRNA from 1 species